AUUGAACGCUGGCGGCAGGCCUAACACAUGCAAGUCGAGCGGAGCGGCGGACGGGCGAGUAAUGUAUGGGGAUCUGCCCGAUAUAGGGGGCUAACUCCUGGAACCGGUGGCUACUACCGCAUACUAUCGGAUGAACCCAUAGGGGAUUAGCUAGUAGGUGGGGUAAAGGCUCACCUAGGCGACGAUCUCUAGCUGGCCUGAGAGGAUGAUCAGCCACACUGGGACUGAGACACGGCCCAGACUCCUACGGGAGGCAGCAGUGGGGAAUAUUGCACAAUGGGCGAAAGCCUGAUGCAGCCAUGCCGCGUGUAUGAAGAAGGCCUUCGGAUUGUAAAGCACUUUAAGUUGGGAGGCGUUACCAACAGAAUAAGCACCGGCUAACUACGUGCCAGCAGCCGCGGUAAUAC
rnacentral:rRNA from 1 species